AUUCGCCAGCGCGCGCACGAGAGACUGCUUGUCCCAGCGCAGCGCGCUCGCGUGUGUGUGUGUAUGUCAGGCUCUGGAGUCAGGGCAAAGCAGGAAUCUGGAGAAAUUUAAAUAUAAAGACAUUCAGCGCUGCCAUGAGAGUUGAACUGGGUUUUGAACAUGAAGAAAAGUCAGCAAAUUCGAACCAAAUGCUGAUUAACCAGCUCCGAGAGAUCACUGGCGUUCAAGAUCUCCAUGUUCUCCAGAGCGCCCUGAACGCCAGCCAAGAUGACAUCAGUCAUGCGGUUGGGCUGCUGACCGCCCAGACCACAGCAGAAGAGCACACGCCAGAAGAUCCUACUCAAGCAAAUAAUGAGAGAAACACAUCUAAUACACAAAACGGUCCUGCUAAAGACGAUCUUCAGGCGGCGAUUGAGCUCAGUCUUCAAGAGUCACAUCAAGCAGAGGCAGAAAUGAGAGAACUGCACAGAGCUCUCGAGGUCAGUGCAGAAGAGAAUGCGGCUCGCUUUAAAAGAAAGAGGUGUGAGGCAUCUGGAGAGAGCUGCAGCCCUGCGGACUGGAUCCGACAGGAGGACUGGCCCGUGGGCAUCCGAAAUGUAGGAAAUACCUGUUGGUUCAGUGCUGUCAUUCAGUCUCUGUUUCACCUGCCGGUCUUUCGUCGACUGGUGCUCAACUAUUGCCUAUCUGAGCGUGUGCUGGAGAAAUGCAAGAGUCAUUCAGAGAAAAGGAACAUUGCCUUCAUGCAGGAGUUGCGUUGUCUGUUUGCUUUGAUGGUGGGCUCAAACCGAAGGUUUGUAGACCCAUCAGCAGCUGUGGAGCUUCUCAGGGAUGCAUUUCGAACCAGUGAGGCACAACAGGAUGUCAGUGAAUUCACACACAAGCUGCUUGACUGGCUGGAGGAUGCGUUCCAACUGGCUGCAAAUGGAACUAACCCAGAGGAUAAAAAGAACAACCCAAUGGUCCAGCUGUUUUAUGGAACAUUUGUAGCUGAGAGACUUCUUGAAGGAAAGAUCGAAUCUAAUAUUGAGCAAUUUGGACAAUAUCCUCUCCAAGUAAAUGGGUUCAAUAAUUUAGAUGAAUGUUUGGAGGGUGCCAUGGUUGAAGGAGAGAUUGAAUCCCUUCAUUCAGAUCAGACAAUCGGUCAGGAGAGAUGGUUCUCCAAGCUGCCGCCAGUAUUGACCUUUGAGCUGUCCAGAUUUGAGUUCAAUCAGUCUUUAGGGCGACCAGAAAAAAUACACAAAAAACUGGAAUUUCCCCAAGUGAUCUAUAUGGACAGAUACCUCCACAACAAUGUUGACCAGACCCAUGGUAGGAGAGGAGAGGUGAAGAGACUGAAGGACCAGCUAACAGUCCUCCAGCAGAAACUCGAGGGGUAUAAAAACUACGGCUCAGGGCCAGCUAAAUACCCUUUGGCUGACAUGUUGCAGUAUGUAUUGGAGUUUGCCACUACGAAACCCACAAAUGCAUCUCCAGUCUCUCCGGUACCCCCAAACGCUGUUCACACAGAACCCACCUCAGGUGACACCAGUCAAAAAGAACCAGAUGAUACAGGUCCAUCAGACGGUCCGAGCUGCUCUCAGAUGGCCACACAGAGGACUCAAAUACACAAACCUUUCACUCAGUGCAGGCCGUCUAUGGAUGUCCCCCUGCAGCCAGCCCCUCACAGUGUGACCGAAGAGGAGCUUCACUUUGUCCGUGGCUGCUUACAGCGAUGGAGAGCAGAGGCUGAGAACACCAUAAACGAUCUGAAAGCCAGCAUUGACAAGGUCAGUCAAGCCCUGGAGGGCAUGUACUCAGAUAACAGUCUGUGUCAGGUGCCCUACAGGCUACACGCCGUGCUUGUUCAUGAAGGACAGGCGUCCGCUGGCCAUUACUGGGCGUACAUCUAUGAUCACACUCACAAACGCUGGCUGAAGUACAAUGAUGUAAUGGUUACAGAGUCCACUUGGGAAGAGCUGGUCCGAGAUUCGUACGGAGGCAUGACCAAUGCCAGCGCCUACUGCCUAAUGUACAUCAAUGACAAUUUGCCAUACCUCAUAGCAGAAGACACAGACAAUGAGACUGGACACGUCCUAAAAGGAAUGGACACCCUCCCUCCCAUCCUUAAACGCUAUGUACGGGAAGAUAACCGCUGGCUCCAGCAAGAGCUGAGAGAGUGGGAAGAGCAGUUCUGCCAAGCCCAACACGAAGACUCGCAAGUUGUUCAGGUACAAACUUCAACCAACACAGAGGAACCAGGUCAGCCUACAGAGCGGCCACAGAAUCCAGAGAAAGAAGAACCAAAGCAAGAACCAUCCGAAGAAAACACGCAUGAAGUAAUUGAACACGAACCUGCUCCGGAUCCAACACCACCAGCACCUGCCCAGGAAGAGCCUGUGGCCAAUCCAGAACCUCUUAACUCGAUAUCAUCAGAGUCCACUGAGAAUGUAAGAGAGGGAGCUGAGGAGCAGAUCUCCAGUAGCCAGGAACAUGGCCAGCAAAAUGAGGAGAAGCCAGAGGAGAGUCAGCAGCCUGAGUCUGCCUCAAAGGAGGCCAUAGCUGAGACUGAGGUUGAGGUUGAAGCAAAGGAGCAGGUCAGUGAUGAGGCAAGACCAGAGGCAGAACAAGACCCUCAGCCAGAGACCGAGACCCCGUCCACGGAGGAAAACCCAGCCACGACUAGACGCAGGCAGCCUGAGAAUGAGGUGUCUGAGGUGGAGAUACCCAAUGUAGGCACAAUCCUGGUUCGUUCUGAUGCUGAUGGCUAUAAUGAGGAGAUGAUGUUAACUCCAGCCAUGCAGGGUGUCAUAUUUGCUAUUGCCAAAGCAAGAGAAGCUUUUGACAAAGAUGGACCUGAGGCAGGACUUAUCAAGGCGUUUCAUGAGGAGUAUUCCAGAUUGUUUGAGCUGUCCCAGGAAGAGACGACACCCCAGCAGGACCCUCGGCUUCAGCAUGUAAUGGUUUACCUCUUUCAGAAUCAGGCACCUGGUCGUGUCAUUGAGAGGACUUUACUGGAGCAGUUUGCAGAUCGUAACCUGAGUUUUGAUGAUAGGGCCAUAAGUAUCAUGAGAGAGGCCAGAACAAAACUCCGACUUAUUAAACCAGAAGAUAUGGACAUGGAUGAGUACAUGGAAUGGCAUGAUGACUACAACAUGUUCAAGACAGUGUUUGCCUACCUGUUGACAGGUCUUGAGCAGUACCAGAACGGAAAAAUAAGAGAGGCGCUGAAUUAUCUUGCUCAUGCACACCAGGACAACUCCACUCUUCUUAGGAAAGGGGAAAGAAGAGGAGUGGACCAGUCGCUUAUUGCACUUUAUAGGAGAAAAUGUCUGCAAGAGCUGAAUGAGAACGUAGCCACAUUGUUUAAAAGUCAGGAUGAGAAUGACAUUACAGAGGGAGUGUCCAUUAUGAAUGAGUGUGUCAUCCCUUGCAUGCAUCUCAUGGUCAGAGACAGCAUCAGUCAAGAGGACCUGGAUGUCAUAGAGCUGAUCAGGAAUUGCUGGUGCUCCUAUUUGGGGCAGGACAUGACUGAUUCUUUGCAGGAAAAGCUCAGUGAAUUUUUACCCAGGGUCCUGGACUGUUCUGCUGAAAUGGUUGUGCUGAAAGAGCCCCCCAAAGUGAGAAACUCCCCCCAUGAUCUAUGUAGCCGUCUGGCUGCUGUCAUGGAGUCCAUCCACAGCGCCUCCGUUGUGAUCGUAAAGUGAUGCUCAACGUGACAUCCUGUGUUGGAAAAAUACCAUCAUACAGUCACAAGAUUCAUUUUAACAGGUGGGAAGCUUUCAGAAUGACUUGUUGUUACUCAAAACAACCUGAUACAAAUUGCAGUUGGAGACUUGGGAGUGAGCCAUAUGGUUGAUGCCAAGAUCAGACCCAAAUUGAUUAAAUCAAGACAAACUAAAGAAGGGGAGUUUAUUUCAGUGAGAUUAACCUGAGUCACAGCGCUGGAGACAGACUGCUGCUGGUAGAGCCAGACUAUUUUACUUACAUAAUUAAUGAAAACAGCCUCUUAUGGGAAAUAAGAGCAGAGACUUUGAAGAUGGGUCAAUUUGAGAUUAUUGUCAUCCUUGAUGGCACAGUAGCAAGCCUCAGGUAUGACAGGACAUCAUACACUGAAAAUGAAAUUUUUUUGAGUCAUCGCUUUGAGUAGUGCAUCAUGUGGAAAGGGUGUUUUUAUGUGAACUACAAAUGCAUUUGACAAAAUGAAAAAAGUGCAAAUGUCUCUCAGUGUACUAAAGAAAAUUUUGUGGGAAAAGAUUAUCUUCUAGAUUUCCCAACAAACAAUCCUUCAACCAUUUAAAGGCUGAGAGGAGUGUUUUUUGGCUGUGAAUCCAUGUGUAAAGACAGUAAAAUGUAAUGAAGUCCUUUUGCACAUUCUUCAUCUCUAUUUUGGGGGUAGUUAUGGUCUAAUGCAGUGGUGCUCAAUCAUUUUCAGUGUUUGCCCCCCCCUCCCCUCUUGUGUAUGGUGCAUUCCUUCAUGCCCCCCAAAGAAAAUUUAUGACAAAUUUGUUCUAAA